rnacentral:lncRNA from 1 species
CAGAUUUGGGAGAAACUACAGAGCCUCUUCCAAGAUGCUGGUGGCCCUCCUCACAAUGGUCCUGCUGGGCCUGAGCUUUGCUCAGGAACCAGAACUUCAGAACCUAAACCAGGUCCCCAAUCAGAGGCCACCACCUUCAGGAUUCCUACCAAGACCACCUGGUAAUAGGAACCAGCAAGGCCCACCACCAAAAGGAGGCCCACAGCAGAGACCUCCUCAAGGCCCACCCCCACCAGGAGGUCCACAGCAGAAACCUCAAGGCCCACCCCCACCAGGAGGCCCACAGCAGAGACCUCAAGGCCCACCCCCACCAGGAGGCCCACAGCAGGGACCUCAAGGCCCACCCCCACCAGGAGGCCCACAGCAGAGACCUCAAGGCCCACCCCCACCAGGAGGCCCACAGCAGGGACCUCAAGGCCCACCCCCACCAGGAGGCCCACAGCAGGGACCUCAAGGUCCACCCCCACCAGGAGGUCCACAGCAGAGCCCCCCUCAAGGUCCACCCCCACCAGGAGGUCCACAGCAGGGACCUCAAGGCCCACCCCCACCAGGAGGUCCACAGCAGGGACGUCAAGGUCCACCCCCACCAGGAGGCCCUCAGCAAAGACCUCCUCAAGGCCCACCCCCACCAGGAGGCCCACAGCAGAGACCUCCUCAUGAAUUUCAGAAACUAAGAAAGUGGUUCCCUCACACUCUUCUUCCACUGCCACCACAGGAUGAGAACUGGAUCUUCAUUCACUGCAUUAAUAAAAUGAUCAGCAUGCAACUUCUGAUUGGUGUAUUUCUUUCUUGGUGUUCUUCCUCCCACAAUAUCAGGACUCACAAUUACCUAAAAUCACCCAUAUUCUCUCAGGGCUUCAGCCUGUAAUUUCUCCCAGCAACUGUCCAUAAGCCAGUUACCAGGUACCAGGUCUUUUACUGCUGUGUUUCUGCCUGAGUCAUAAAGCAGACACUCUCUUCCCAGUGUUGUGUAGUAUCUAUCUCUGAAAAUGGGUGUUUGGGUGUUGCUUUGCCUAAUCUGGGGUGCAAGGUCAAGCAGCUAUGAACCAAAUGCCAAGGCAAAGGGUCGUGGUGCAUAUGGAUGUGUCCUGGGGCACCAGUGUGUCUCAGAGAAAGGGAGGAAUGACCAAACAUCUUUGGAAGAAGUAGUAGGCUGAUAGGCUAUAAUCACUGAUAUACUGGUCUGCAGUGGCUAUAGGUCAUCCAAGGUAGAUAGCAGAGUUUUCAAGACAUGGCUGCACCCUUGUGUUGUCUUACUCAUGGUUUCAUGUCCUCUACAAAACAUCAUGGCCAAGAAGCAAGUUGGAGUGGAAAGGACAUAUUCACCUUACAAUUCCACAUUUCUGCUCACAACCAAAGGAAAUUAGGACUGAAUUCA